GUCUUCCUCGAGAGCCUCGGCUGGGACAAGGACGCCGACCGCAACACCUACCGCGCCCAGACCGUCGAGCCCCUCCCCUUCCGGGCCAUGAGCGGCUACCCCUGGUCCGAAGACGAGGAGUUCCCCUCCACCCCCGAGCUCGACGCCUACCGGGCCGACUGGCUGACGCGGGUGGUUGGCCGACCCUGACGAGACUGGCAUCCCCCUUGCUCUCCUGUCCAACGCCGGCCGGCACACGGUCGGAGCUACCCACAGGAGACGAUCCAU
rnacentral:misc_RNA from 1 species